rnacentral:rRNA from 1 species
AGUGAACGCUGGCGGUAGGCCUAACACAUGCAAGUCGAACGGCAGCACAGUAAUAGCUUGCUCUUACGGGUGGCGAGUGGCGGACGGGUGAGGAAUACAUCGGAAUCUACUUUUUCGUGGGGGAUAACGUAGGGAAACUUACGCUAAUACCGCAUACGACCUACGGGUGAAAGCAGGGGAUCUUCGGACCUUGCGCGAUUGAAUGAGCCGAUGUCGGAUUAGCUAGUUGGCGGGGUAAAGGCCCACCAAGGCGACGAUCCGUAGCUGGUCUGAGAGGAUGAUCGGCCACACUGGAACUGGGACACGGUCCAGACUCCUACGGGAGGCAGCAGUGGGGAAUAUUGGACAAUGGGCGCAAGCCUGAUCCAGCCAUACCGCGUGGGUGAAGAAGGCCUUCGGGUUGUAAAGCCCUUUUGUUGGGAAAGAAAAGCAGCAGGUUAAUACCCCGCUGUUCUGACGGUACCCAAAGAAUAAGCACCGGCUAACUUCGUG